rnacentral:rRNA from 1 species
UACGGAGGGUGCAAGCGUUGCUCGGAAUUAUUGGGCGUAAAGCGCACGCAGGCGGCAGGAUAAGUCAGUUGUGAAAUUCCCGGGCUUAACUUGGGAGCUGCAGCUGAUACUGUUCUGCUUGAGUACGGAAGAGGGGAGCGGAAUUCCCAGUGUAGAGGUGAAAUGCGUAGAUAUCGGGGGAACACCUAUGGCGAAGGCAGCUCGCUGGGACGUUACUGACGCUGAGACGCGAAAGCGUGGGAGCGAAC